AAGGAUUUAAGUUAAAUAAACUCGUAGUCUUCAAAACUACUAAUAAAGAUCCAUCUUUAAGCCUUA
rnacentral:tRNA from 1 species